AACCCUCUCCAAACUUUCAUCCACAAGAAAAAUCAAGGGAAACCAAGAUUAAAAACAUCAAAUCCAUGAAUCAAAGUGUAUGAAACCCAAGUAAGGUUCAUCUUCCUCAAGGAAAUCCAAAGAGGGAAAGUAGGGUUUUGGUGCUAGAAGGGAAAACUCCACUCAAGGCUUGUCCAACCAUCAUCCAAGAGGCGUGACAGUGAAGAAGAAUAAGCGAACGCUAGAUUGCUUAAACGACAAAGGGGAAGUGGGGAAAGGUGAGGCGCUAUAGACGCAUAGCCACCUGUACAGCUGGCAUAUCAUGAUUCCAUCCCGGACGCGGGGUGCCCGGACGCGGGAUAUAUGGGUGAUGGAUCGGGCCGUACGUUCCACGGCAAUAUAUUUAUAUAUGAUGAUAUAUGGAUCGGGUCGUUCGUUUCACGGCAAUAUAUU